ACCUUUUCUGGAAGAUUAUGAAUGGACUGUUCACUGCUGAGCUCUAUACUGUCAUAUUUCAUUGGCAUGUGAAAUAAAAGUUUUAUAUGUAACUCUGCAUGAAUAUGUAGGACUGAUCCCUGCUGUGUGCAUAUAGUGGAUGCAGUACUCAUGUCUGCUUGCAGUUUGCUCUAUUCUGUUCUAUACAAUUGACAUGUUGAAUAACAGUUUUAUUGUACGUCUGGAGGAUUAUGAAUGGACUGUUCCCUGCUGUGGGCAUAUCGUGGAUGCAUUACUCUAUCUGCUGGCAGGGAAAUUAAAUAGAGCUGAUAACUUACUCAGCUCCCUACUCCCACUGGAC